UCUGCUCUUUGAGGGGACCUAAGUUCAGUUCCCAGCACCACGUGGUUCUCACAAACUUCUCAGGCACCAGGCACAUAGCGCACAGGCACACUUGAAGGCAGAGCAUCCAUACACAUAAAAUAGAAAUGAAAUCUUAAAAACCAUUGGGUGGCAUGCAUGGGUUAAUGUGUACUGACACUAGCUCCCAAAUUGAUUAUCCAGUACCAAGAGGUCAGCUCAGAAAUCACAUACACAUUAGGAUCCUUAUAUGGACUGAGAAGGUCAUAUUUAUAUGUUUACAAACACACACACACACACACACACACAAACACAUACACACACACACACAAUUACAAAGUUAUAGAGGCCAUGAAAUUAAGAGCAAGGAGGUUUAUGGGAAGGGUUGGAGGGAGGAAAGAGAAGUGGGGAAGACAGCAUAGUUACAAAUUAUGGAAUAUAUAAAUGCUUAAAAGCAUACUGUCCAUCGAGCAUAGGUGGCAUUCUGUUGGAACGAGUAGAGCAUCCGAGAUCUCUAUGAGUGUAGUCUGUGCUGGAGUCUGUAUGUGUAUACUAGUAUUACUGAUAGCCAUGAAAUCAAAUAUACCCACUCCCAUGGCUAGCUUGUGAAAUUUGUCACUGAGUCAGUUGUAGCAGUUCCUCUCUCCACUGUAAUUCCUCACUUUAUAGACGAACCACUCAGACAGGACCAGACUAGGUCUGAGUGUCCGAGUCGGCUUUCCCACGGUUGGCUCCUGCAUAUGCAGUAAUGAGCUUCUUACUGUUGUAGGUUCUGAGUCCACAUUAGAGCAGCUCUUCUCACACGAGGCGGGUCGCCUGCUGUAGUAAGGGCUGUGUCCAUAUUCUUUACUUACCCAAAAUAGUGUCCUCUGGAGUCACAGCUCUUCUGUCAGCCCCACCUUGAUGGAGUCACUGUAACUUUUCCUAAACACAGUUACAAGGUGCUGAACCUAAGGCUUUUCCUCACCAUCGGGUGUGUUCUUUUCAGGUUUCUUCCCCUCCUCUCACUCUUCGGUUCCCUAAUAUUGGCCAGCUUGUCUUUGGAACCAAACCAAGCCAACCAAACUAUACCUUUUUAUAGCACCAUGUAAUGGCCUGCAGUUACCUUACCAGUUAAGCAGUGUCCUCGAUCAGGAUUCCUUUGUGUAGUCCUGGCUGUUCUGGAACUCAGUCUGUAGACCAGGCUGGAACUCAGGCCCCAAGUGCUGGGGUGAAAGACAUAUUCCAUCUCGCCCAGCUAAAAUUUGAGUUUCUUGACUGCUGUUAUUUAGCCAGGUUCUCGUCUGUUCAUUGUCUUGCCCUAAGCCAGGUAAUUAGCUGAGACGGAAGUAAAUAAUACACUACUGUUUGUGGCCAUCAGACCUUAGAAAGUCAGUGGGAGGAGAGGGUGAUUAAAGCCAUGCGUGGGUUUCACAGUCUUUGUGCCUCUGUCCUUAUGGGUGGAUGGUACCAUCCUUAGAGGUGGGAAGAGGGUUACUGUAGAACAUGGGACUAGCUAGCCUAGUGUCUGGUGAAUGGUUUCAGGAUGCUUAUCACCUUAUUGUUUGUUGAUCAUGUGUGGGAGUGUUGGAUCUGCAUGUAUGUUUGUGUACAGUGUGAGUGCAUGGUGUUCUUGGAGGUCAGAAGUGGUCCUCAGAUCCCCUGGAUGGGUAAGCAUGGUUGUGAGGCCCCCUGUGGGUGCUGGGAACUGCACUAGGGUCCUCUGCAGCAUCAACACGUGAGUUCUCUUACCUGCUGAUGAGUUGCUCUGGCUCCAGCCUCAUGGAUUGAAAACAGACCGAAAACAGAAGUGAAAAUAUUUGAGAAUAAGUAUUGGUUAGGACAUUUGGGUAAAUUCUUUUUUUUUUUUUUUUUUUUUGAGAUAAUUCUCAUUCUGUGUUUAAGCUGGGUUCUCAUGUCCUUUGUGGGUACGCUUGUGUACGCCCUACCUCUCGCCCUACAAAAAUAAGUCUUUAAAAAA